rnacentral:lncRNA from 1 species
GUGCGGCGUCUUUCUGAACUUCUCCGGGCAUCCAAGCUUCCACAAUACUAUUCGAACUCCUCCAGUAGUCGACCUUCCACAGAGUCCUCCAGAUUUCUCCAACGGACGAACUCCUAUCGUACCCUCUAGACUCCUCCAACAGUUGACCUUCCACAGAAUCCUCCAGAUUCUUCCAACAGACGAACUCCUACCAUACCCUCCGGACUUCUCCAAUAAUGAGCUCCUUCAGUCGUCUAUUGGACUGCUCCAAAUGCUCUCUGGGCUUCACUAUCAGCUG